rnacentral:rRNA from 1 species
UUGGAGGGCAAGUCUGGUGCCAGCAGCCGCGGUAAUUCCAGCUCCAAUAGCGUAUAUUAAAGUUGUUGCAGUUAAAAAGCUCGUAGUUGAAUUUCGGGAUCAGAGUGUCGGUCGUGCCUCGGUACGCACUGGUAUUAUUGGUUCCUACCUUCUGAAGAACCGCGAUGUCAUUAAUUUGGUGUCGUGGGGAAUCAGGACUGUUACUUUGAAAAAAUUAGAGUGUUUAAAGCAGGCUUACGCUUGAAUACAUUAGCAUGGAAUAAUGAAAUAGGACGUUUGAUUCUAUUUUGUUGGUUUCUAGGAUUGACGUAAUGAUUAAUAGGGAUAGUUGGGGGCAUUAGUAUUCAAUUGCCAGAGGUGAAAUUCUUGGAUUUAUUGAAGACUAACUACUGCGAAAGCAUUUGCCAAGGAUGUUUUCAUUAAUCAAGAACGAAAGUUAGGGGAUCGAAGACGAUCAGAUACCGUCGUAGUCUUAACCAUAAACUAUGCCGACUAGGGAUCGGAUGAUGUUAAUUUUUUAAUGACUCAUUCGGCGCCUUACGGGAAACCAAAGUGUUUGGGUUC